AUGAUUGAGAUGGUGUCGUGUGGCUCAGCUACCAUGGAGGUUACGCUUAAGCAUUCAGGAUCUCUAUUCAUGUAUGCCGGUCACCGUGGUGGAGCACAUUCCAAGAACAGCUUUGGAAAUAUCUACACUGCUGUGGGCGUUUUUGUCCUGGACCGUAUGUUUCGUGAAGCUUGGGGGAAGGAAGCUCCUAAAAAGCAAGCCGAAUUUAAUGAUGUUAUUGAGGAAAACCAGAUAAACAUUUCAAUGGAACUUGUGACGGCUGUAUUAGGAGACCAUGGGCAAAGGCCAAAGGAUGAUUAUGCCGUGGUUAUAGCUGUAACAGAGUUAGGUCAUGGCAAACCAAGGUUCUAUUCUACUCCCCAAGUGAUUGCCUUUUGUCAAGAAUGGCGCCUACCAACAAAUCAUGUGUGGCUAUUUUCCACAAGGAAAUCUGCCACUUCUUUUUUCGCUGCCUACGAUGCAUUGUGUGAAGAGGGGACUGCCACGCCGGUUUGCACAGCCCUUGGCGAAAUAGCUGAUAUAGCUAUACCAGGGUCAAAGGAUCAUGUGAUGGUACAGGGUGAGAUUCUUGAAGGCCUGGUUGCCCGUAUUGUUAGUCGUGAAAGUUUGGUUCAAAUGGAACAAGUCUUGAAAAACUUCUCACAUCCUCCACUAGAUGGAGUUGACUCUGAUUUAGGGCCAAGUUUACGUGAAAUAUGCGCCGCUAAUAGGUCAGAUGAAAACCAGCAAAUCAAAGAACUUCUCGAAAAUGCUGGAUCUUCAAUGUGUCCAGACCAUUCUGAUUGGUUUGGAAAUAGUGGUCUUGAUGCUCAGUCUCGAGACGCUGAUGAAUCGGUUGUCACUUGCUUUUUGCAAGCACAUCCUACUGACAAUGCAACUAAGAAAUUGCAGGAGAUGAUUCGUGUGAUCAAGCAAAGAAAUUUCCGUGUAGCACUCAAAUGUUACCAAAAAGUUGAUUCUCUUUCAAAUGAUAACUUGUAUUACAAGAUGGUUAUCCAUGUGCACAGUGAUUAUGUUUUUACAAGUUAUCGGCAAGAGAUGAGGAAAAAGCAAGGGUUAUGGCCACUGUAUAGGGGUUUCUUCGUUGAUGUAAACCUGUUCAAGGCGAACAAUAGGAAGGCUGCUGAACAUCCCAAAGACAGUAACACUUUACUGAAAAAUAUUGAUGGUGACGAGGAUUCAAAUUUGAUGGUCAAACUAAAAUUCCUGACUUAUAAGGUAAGGACAUUUUUAAUUCGGAAUGGCCUCUCCACCCUCUUCGAAGAUGGCCCAUCUGAUUAUAGAGAUGAUUGCCUGAGGCAAAUGGAGAAUUGGGGAACAUCAGCAAGUAAACAGAAAGAGCUUUGCGAACUGUUGGAUGAAUGGGCUGUGUAUAUUACAAGCAAGUGCGGAAAUAAGCCACCCUCGUGCUCAGAGUAUCUUAGCGAGGCAGAGCCUUUCCUUGAACAAUAUGCUAAAGCAAACCAGGAUUUGAUAGGGGCUCCUGGUGACUUGGUUCAACCGUCUAGUCCUACUACGUCCCUCAAUGGUGUUUCAAAACCCGAGGGCCUUAUCGUCUUCUUUCCUGGUAUACCUGGUUGUGCAAAGUCUGCUCUAUGCAAGGAACUAUUGAAAAUGCCUGGUGGCCUUGGUGAUAAUCGCACUCUUCAUUGUUUGAUGGGAGAUCUUAUUAAAAAAGGAAAAUACUGGAAAAAGGUUGCUGACGACCGGAAAAAGGAACCAUUUACAAUAACCCUUGCUGACAAAAACGCACCAAAUGAGCAAGUGUGGUGGCAGAUUGAGAAUAUGUGUGGGACCACAAAAGCGGCUGCUGUUCCUGUUGUUCCUGAUUCUGAAGAAACCGAUACAAAUCCAUUUUCUUUUGAAGCUCUUGCUGUUUUCAUGUUUCCUGUGCUCCAGAGGGUCAAUCAUGAGGGAAAUCUGGACAAGGCAUCACCGACUGCUGGUAAAGUUUUGCUAAAGUUUUACAACCUCUAUGAUGAGAAUCGAAGAGAAUUCAAAGGCCGACUGCAUGAGCGUUUCGGCUACUUGGUUAAGAUGCCUCUCCUCAAGCCAGAUAGAGCUCCAUUGCCUGGUGAUGUCAAAAGUAUCUUAGACGAGGGGCUUAGCUUAUUCAUAUUGCAUCGAAGCAGGCAUUUAAGAAGAGUGGAGCCAUCAGAAUGGGCACAGUGGGAGGAGAGGUUGCGCGAGAUCUUGUUUGAGAAUGCUGAUUAUCUUAAAUCCAUUCAGGUUCCGUUUGAGGCUGCGGUGAAAGAAGUAGUGGAACAGUUAAAGGCCGUGGCAAAAGGUGAUAUCAAACCACCUGAUACUGCGAAGCGGAGGUCCGGCAAUAUCGUUUUUGCUGCUGUUACGUUAUCCCCGGCAGAUGUAUUGGGCCUUGUCCGGAAGGUUGCAGAGAAGGACACUGAUGUCGACAAUUUUCUCAACGGCCUAAAAUUAGAGGAUAGCCUGAAGAACAAGGUGCAUGUCACCCUCGCCCACAAAAGGGCC
rnacentral:rRNA from 1 species